rnacentral:rRNA from 1 species
UACGUAGGGUGCGAGCGUUAAUCGGAAUUACUGGGCGUAAAGCGUGCGCAGGCGGUUCGUUGUGUCGGCGGUGAAAGCCCCGGGCUUAACCUGGGAAUGGCCGUUGAAACUGGCGAACUGGAGUGUGGCAGAGGGGGGUGGAAUUCCGCGUGUAGCAGUGAAAUGCGUAGAUAUGUGGAGGAACACCGAUGGCGAAGGCAGCCCCCUGGGCUAACACUGACGCUCAUGCACGAAAGCGUGGGGAGCAAACAGG